CUUGAACGCUGGCGGCACGCUUAACACCAGCAUGUCGAGCGAGCCGCGGACGGGUGUGUAACGCCUGGGAACCUGCCCGGUGGAGGGGGACAACCACGGCAAACGGUAGCCAAUACCGCCUACCAUCAGUUGUGCCCAGAUCGGAUUAGCUAGUAGGUGGGGUAAAGGCUCACCUGGUCGACGAUCCCUAGCUGGUCUGAGAGGAUGACCAGCCACCGUGGAACGGAGGCACGGGCCAGACGCCUGCGGGGGGCAGCAGUGGGGAGUGUUGCACAAUGGGCGCGAGCCUGAUGCAGCCAUGCCGCGUGUGGGAAGAAGGCCUUCGGGUUGUAAAGCACUUUCAGCGGGGAGGCGUUACUCGCAGAGGAAGCACCGGCUAACUCCGUGCCAGCAGCCGCGGUAAUAC
rnacentral:rRNA from 1 species